rnacentral:rRNA from 1 species
GCCACUUUAAUAUGAUGGUAAUAAAGUAAGCAUUAAGUAUAUUUAAAUAUGGGAUUUUCAUUGAUAUAUUAUCCCAGUUUAAAAUUUUAAAUAUAUAUGAAAAUAUAAUUUAGAUAGUUUAUUAAUUUUGGUUUACUAGGUGCCAGCAACCGCGGUCACACCUAGAAAAUUAGUUUAAAAUUUAAAAGUAAUUAUAAAAUUAAUCUUUACAGAAAAAUAUAAAUAUAUGGUGAAAUAUUAUUUUAUCCCUAAUUCUAAUAAAGUUUUUAAUAAAUAAAUCCUACAAUUAAAACUAGGAUUAGAGACCCUACUAUUGAGGAAUUAAAAUUUAUUACUUAAGGAGUAAUAUGAAUAUUUAAAACUUAAAUAUUAUGGCGGCCGAGCAAAAUACUUAGGGGAACUUACCAUGUAAUUGAUAGUCACCAAGCAUAAAAUUACUUAUUUUAUGAUUUGUAUACCGUUGUCUUCAUAAAUCUUCUAAAGAGGUUUAUUAAUACUAACCUAUGUAAAAAGACAAAUCAAGGUGCAGUUUAUAAAUAAGAAUUAAGGUGAGUUACAAUAAAAAUUUUUUUCGGAAAAACUUAUGAAAUAAGUUAAAUAAGAUGGACUUAAAAGUACUAUUUAAAUAUACACACAUAUUAUAAGAAUAUAUAUUGUUUAGUGUA